AACGAUUAAGUUCCCCCCAAACCUUACCAAGUUAACUUCGAAGGGGACCUGUCUAAGUUCUUGUGACAUGUCGACCCUCGCCGAGUUACUACCAAACCUCGAGGCUCUGAAGCUCUCUCGUAUUUCCCUCGCAGGGUUAUGUUGGGAAACAAGUGGGGUUUUCCCUAAACUCAAGUUCUUGAAAUUCGCAUCGCUUGAGAUUUUGCGGUGGGUUGCCUCUAGUGAUUACUUUCCAAGUCUCGAGCGACUAGUGUUAGAACGAUGUUCUUGACACGAAAAGAUCCCAUCUGAGAUUGGGGAUAUACUAACGCUGAAGACGAUUGAGUUACAUCAGUGCAACCCUUCUCUUGCUUCUUCUGUCAGGCAAAUUAAGGAAGAGCAAGAGAGUCAAGGAAACAAUGGCUUGCAAAUUAAGAUAACCAAGUAAGUCCAUUAAUUUGGCCAAAUUUUGUACUACAUGUUUUCCCAUUUCCUUUUAUGCAUGCUUUAGUUAUGUUGAAUAUUACUCUCAGUUGUUUUUAAACUAGUGUCCCUGAUCUAUUCGCAAUCAUUAUACUUUGAUUUUUUUUAUAAUAUUGUCUGCACUGGAUCAUCGGUAUGAAGCCACAGUAAAAUAAAAUUCACUUAGAUUUGUGGAUAAGUAGAUAAUCAUAAUAUAGCUCAAGAAAAUAAAAUAAACGAGGCCCAAUAAAAAUUCAACCACAAUAAUAUUUUUAUUUUAUCUAUUAUUUUGCAUAUAAAAAUUUUUAAUACAUUUUUGUCACCGCUGAGCUAAAAAUGCUUGAGCCACCCCUGAAUACUCGUAUGUUUCAUGUGUGCAUGCAAUUACACAAAUCACGAUAUGAAUGGUGAAUGCUGUUGCAGACCAAAAAAAAUUAAAAAGUUUUGGCUGCUGAGUGUUUUAUUGCAGGUAGAGAAGGGGAUAACAGAAUGAAGAGCUCAAGACAUGCCCAUAGGCAGCUCUCAAUCACUACCGAAACGAGGUAUACCUCCAUAACACGGUCACAAGAUGCAUCUUGGUUGGAUGCGAGAGAGGCGAGAACGACGAGCCCAGCUGCAACAGUUGAGGUCCAGUAGCUCAGUUGUUCAUGACCAAGCAGCGCUACUACUGCCAAAUACUUGGCAGUUUUUUCCACUUCUUUAUUUGCUUUUGCAGCUUUCAGUGUCUGCUGAUACAAUGGACGAAAAAGGGGUACCAUAAGAAGUUGUAGAUGGUAGGCAGAUAGCACUGGAAAUUAAGGACUUCCUGCACCAGCCAUUCCAUUGCCACC